rnacentral:rRNA from 1 species
CAACAGGGAUUGCCCUAGUAACGGCGAGUGAAGCGGCAACAGCUCAAAUUUGAAAUCUGGCCCUUUCAGGGUCCGAGUUGUAAUUUGCAGAGGGUGCUUUGGUGUUGGCGGCGGUCUAAGUUCCUUGGAACAGGACAUCGCAGAGGGUGAGAAUCCCGUAUGUGGUCGCCUGCCUUCGCCGUGUAAAGCCCCUUCGACGAGUCGAGUUGUUUGGGAAUGCAGCUCUAAAUGGGAGGUAAAUUUCUUCUAAAGCUAAAUACCGGCCAGAGACCGAUAGCGCACAAGUAGAGUGAUCGAAAGAUGAAAAGCACUUUGGAAAGAGAGUCAAACAGCACGUGAAAUUGUUAAAAGGGAAGCGCUUGCAGCCAGACUUGCCUGCGGUUGUUCGCCUGGGCUCUUGCCCGGGUUACUCUUCCGCAGGCAGGCCAGCAUCAGUUUGGGCGGUCGGAUAAAGGUCCCUGACACGUAUCUCCCUUCGGGGUUAACAUAUAGGGGGGACGCAAUGCGACCAGCCUGGACUGAGGUCCGCGCAUCUGCUAGGAUGCUGGCGUAAUGGCUGUAAGCGGCCCGUCUUGAAACACGGACCAAGGAGUCUAACAUCUAUGCGAGUGUUUGGGUGUCAAGCCCGAGCGCGUAAUGAAAGUGAACGGAGGUGGGAACCCCUCGGGGCGCACCAUCGACCGAUCCUGAUGUCUUCGGAUGGAUUUGAGUAAGAGCAUAGCUGUUGGGACCCGAAAGAUGGUGAACUAUGCUUGAAUAGGGUGAAGCCAGAGGAAACUCUGGUGGAGGCUCGCAGCGGUUCUGACGUGCAAAUCGAUCGUCAAAUUUGGGCAUAGGGGCGAAAGACUAAUCGAAC